rnacentral:ncRNA from 1 species
CCAAAGGCCCUUUUAAGGGCCACCUACACAUUCAUAAAAAGCUGA